rnacentral:rRNA from 1 species
GACGAACGCUGGCGGCGUGCUUAACACAUGCAAGUCGAACGGAAAGGCCCUGCUUUUGCGGGGUGCUCGAGUGGCGAACGGGUGAGUAACACGUGAGUAACCUGCCCUUGACUUUGGGAUAACUUCAGGAAACUGGGGCUAAUACCGGAUAGGAGCUCCUGCUGCAUGGUGGGGGUUGGAAAGUUUCGGCGGUUGGGGAUGGACUCGCGGCUUAUCAGCUUGUUGGUGGGGUAGUGGCUUACCAAGGCUUUGACGGGUAGCCGGCCUGAGAGGGUGACCGGCGACAUGGGGACUGCGGGACGGCCCAGAAUCCUACGGGAGGCAGCAGUGGGGAAUAUUGCACAAUGGGCGGAAGCCUGAUGCAGAAACGUCGCGUGCGGGAUGACGGCCUUCGGGUUGUAAACCGCUUUCGCCUGUGACGAGGCGUGAUUGACGGUAAUGGGUAAAGAAGCACCGGCUAACUACGUG